rnacentral:rRNA from 1 species
UGGGGAAUUUUGCACAAUGGGGGAAACCCUGAUGCAGCGACGCCGCGUGAUUUAGAAGGCCUUCGGGUUGUAAAAAUCUUUUCUAUGGGAAGAAAAUGACAGUACCAUAGGAAUAAGGACCGGCUAAUUACGUGCCUGCAGCCGCGGUAAUACGUAAGGUCCGAGCGUUGUCCGGAAUCAUUGGGCGUAAAGGGUACGUAGGCGGGUAAGCAAGUUAGAAGUGAAAUCCUAUAGCUCAACUAUAGUAAGCUUUUAAAACUGCUCAUCUUGAGGUAUGGAAGGGAAAGUGGAAUUCCUAGUGUAGCGGUGAAAUGCGCAGAUAUUAGGAGGAAUACCGGUGGCGAAGGCGACUUUCUGGCCAUAACCUGACGCUGAGGUACGAAAGCGUGGGUAGCAAACAGG